rnacentral:lncRNA from 1 species
CGUGGGGUGCUAGGUUCUGCUGGCGCAGCUUUUGUAACAUUCUUCCUAGGUUGCCUACGCUUCCUACAAGUAAUCAAAUAAAUUUAUAUUAACAUUUUCAUUUAAGUUUCUUGAUAAAGAAAAUCAGUUCUCACCUCUUUUUUGCUGUCCCAUUUAGUGGGCACUUAGCACUAGCUUGCCUGUGACCUUUUUGUCCGCAUUUUUUGCAAGUCAUAGGUCCUCUGAUCAUCUUCUUUCCCUUUCCAUUUGUUAGAGCAGUAUCGUUGUCACAUCCCUUCUCACCUUCACCCUUGUUGGUAAAUUCACCACCUUUCUUCUUGUGGCCACCUUCCAUCCAUCCCUUCCUUCUUAGUUUCCUUCGUCUUCCAACAGGUAAUUUAGCAAGAGGUGCACCAACUAAAAAUGGUAGGUCAACCUGUGGCCACUGUGUUUUGUCUGUCAUCGGCUC